UGUUUCGCUUGUUGUGCGGCGUUCUCCAUAGCUCGAGCUUUGUCUAGGAUCGUUUCAAGUGACACGUC
rnacentral:pre_miRNA from 1 species